GAUGAACGCUGGCGGCGUGCCUAAUACAUGCAAGUCGAGCGAACAGAUGAGGAGCUUGCUCCUCUGACGUUAGCGGCGGACGGGUGAGUAACACGUGGAUAACCUACCUAUAAGACUGGGAUAACUUCGGGAAACCGGAGCUAAUACCGGAUAAUAUAUUGAACCGCAUGGUUCAAUAGUGAAAGACGGUUUUGCUGUCACUUAUAGAUGGAUCCGCGCCGCAUUAGCUAGUUGGUAAGGUAACGACUUACCAAGGCAACGAUGCGUAGCCGACCUGAGAGGGUGAUCGGCCACACUGGAACUGAGACACGGUCCAGACUCCUACGGGAGGCAGCAGUAGGGAAUCUUCCGCAAUGGGCGAAAGCCUGACGGAGCAACGCCGCGUGAGUGAUGAAGGUCUUCGGAUCGUAAAACUCUGUUAUUGGGGAAGAACAAAUGUGUAAGUAACUAUGCACGUCUUGACGGUACCUAAUCAGAAAGCCACGGCUAACUACGUG
rnacentral:rRNA from 1 species